AACCCAAAUUUUUCUUCUAAAACUAGCAUUCAAUGCCCAAAAUCAUGGAUCAUUUACUUUUACGUUUCUUUCCUUCUCCGAUUAAUUAAAUUAUAACAAAAAAGAAUUCAAAAUCUCAAUUUCAAAUCUCGAUGUCGUCUUCACUGUAGGCGUCGUCGUCUCUCAUCCCGCCAUCAUCAUCUCUGACAUAACUGAUAUCCAUCGUCAUUAUCUAUACCAUCGGUAAUAAAUUACUGUGUGCAACAGAGUGCUUCAAUACUAAUCUUAUCAUGGCUGGGACCAAACCUUGAUAAUAGAGAUGUGUGCACUGAAGAAGAAAGGGAUAAACACAUUGAACAUAUUCAAGAACUAAUUCAAGAAAAAGGGACGAAGAAGCAACAUCAAAGUCAUGUCCGCACCGAUUGAGGACGACAUAGACGCAGAAGACCUUCAAUCACCCGAUGCUUCUCGUCAAAACCUAAUGAGUUAUUUAAAAUUAUACAUAUA